GCGCUUUUCAAAGAGGUGGUAAAUGUAGUUAUAAAAGAGAUCAUUAGUAUUUAAUUAGAAUCACAAGAAAAUAUUCAAUUAGAAGAUAAAAACCACGAGGUGUUCAGUUUUAAUUCAACGCUAACUAAAAGAAACAUGUUUUUAAAAGUGAGCACUGAGCUUGACUGUCUAAUAACAGGUGGAAUUGAGUUCCACAGUUUAAAAGCAUCAUAGCUAAAAGAGUCUCUCCAUGUUUUCUAUAUGUUACAGGGUGUUUGUAGAAGCUCAGUAUCUGCUGAGGUUCCUCUGUUCAGCUGUGUGUUGGAGGCAGUGUAGCUGUGUCCUUCACUCACUACAUAAUCCUUUGUGUAAGAACCAUUAGAAGAAAAACAGCAGCGCUCACUUCGUGGACAACACCGCAUUGCUGAGCACUGACUUAAUGACUCAUGAGACGCGCAGGCAGAAAUUCAGUUUGUACAGGAAGUUCAAAACCACAUGGCACAGCUGUGGUGAGGAGAAGACAAGCAGGGUUGCCAUAUUCCUUACUGACUUCACUGUGUGUGUGUGUGUGUGUGUGUGUGUGUGUGUGUGUGUGUGUGUGUGUGUGUGUGUGUGUGUGUGUGUGUAAUGUUUUUUCAGUUGGCUGCAAAUCUGAUGUCUUCCUCAUGCUGACUGUGGUGUUUGGGAUUGUGAUUGUAGUUCAGACUAUCCUGAUGAUUGGUCAGUGCUUCAGAAAACAACAGAGAGAAGAUUCUAAUGCUGGAGUGAAAGAAGAGAAUGAGGAGCAGGAUGGUGAAGCGGUGAACUACGCUGCUCUGCACGUCAACAAGAGAAACAAGGGAUCAGAGAAAAAUGUAACUGUGGUUGAUCCUAAUGUUGUUUAUUCUUCUGUAAGUAACAUUCGCUAAGGUUACUAACCAGCUAGAACCAGCUCUUCUGAUUCCAGCUGAAAGCAUCUGAAGCUCAUUCAAAUGUAGCUUUAGUGCACACAGAGCACAUUUAAAUCAUGAAGCUUGACAAAAAUAUCUGUGGAAACUAAAUUACUCUGAGCCGCUUUUCUUAAUAUAUAUAUAUAUAUAUAUAUAUAUAUAUAUAUAAAAGCACAUCUAUAGCACAUCUUUAGUUUCCGUUGAGCUAUUGACAGUAAUUGUGUAUUAAAAUGUGCAGCACUGUGUUCUCUGUAGUGUUAUUAUAACUUAUUGACAUCGACAAAUAUCAUCGUACAGGGGUGCCCAAACUUUUGCAUAUGACUGUAGCUGAAUCUGCAUCUUGUUAAUAUCCUUACAAUGUCGAUAUCAUUGUUAUAUAACAGCUGCGCAGCCCUGUGAGUUUUAAAGGAUGUUUACUUCAUUAUUUAGAUCCAGUCGUUUACUAAAACAGCUGGCUGUCGUAUGAAUGUCUGGGUUUGGCUGCUUUGCUCUUUGUGUAAAUGAGAGAUUUACGGCUGAUCUGUAGACUGAACCAAAAUACAGUGGAAACAUUUUAAAUGGAUACAAAGUGUUUUAUGUCUUUUUACAUUGUACAAAAUCAUUUGCUGACCACUGUACUGACCUCACUGCAGAGAUGAAGUGGUGAAUUAAAUGACAGAUGAUGAAAGUAAA